GGUAGUGUGGCCAAGUGGUCUAAGGCGCUGAAUUAAGGCUUCAGGGGUGUGGGUUCAAAUCCCACCGUUGCCA